rnacentral:rRNA from 1 species
UUUUGUGUUUGAUCGUUGCUCAGAUUGAACGCUGGCGGCAUGCUUUACACAUGCAAGUCGAACGGCAGCGCGGGGCAACCUGGCGGCGAGUGGCGAACGGGUGAGUAAUACAUCGGAACGUACCCAGAAGUGGGGGAUAACGUAUCGAAAGUUACGCUAAUACCGCAUACGUUCUACGGAUGAAAGUGGGGGACCUUAGGGCCUCAUGCUUUUGGAGCGGCCGAUGUCUGAUUAGCUAGUUGGUGAGGUAAAGGCUCACCAAGGCGACGAUCAGUAGCUGGUCUGAGAGGACGACCAGCCACACUGGGACUGAGACACGGCCCAGACUCCUACGGGAGGCAGCAGUGGGGAAUUUUGGACAAUGGGCGCAAGCCUGAUCCAGCAAUGCCGCGUGAGUGAAGAAGGCCUUCGGGUUGUAAAGCUCUUUUGUCCGGGAAGAAACUGGCAUGCUAGCUUAAUAUGCUGCG